AUUGAACGCUGGCGGCAGGCCUAACACAUGCAAGUCGAGCGGAUGAACGGAGCUUGCUCCUGGAUUCAGCGGCGGACGGGUGAGUAAUGCCUAGGAAUCUGCCUGGUAGUGGGGGAUAACGUCCGGAAACGGGCGCUAAUACCGCAUACGUCCUGAGGGAGAAAGUGGGGGAUCUUCGGACCUCACGCGAUCAGAUGAGCCUAGGUCGGAUUAGCUAGUUGGUGGGGUAAAGGCCUACCAAGGCGACGAUCCGUAACUGGUCUGAGAGGAUGAUCAGUCACACUGGAACUGAGACACGGUCCAGACUCCUACGGGAGGCAGCAGUGGGGAAUAUUGGACAAUGGGCGAAAGCCUGAUCCAGCCAUGCCGCGUGUGUGAAGAAGGUCUUCGGAUUGUAAAGCACUUUAAGUUGGGAGGAAGGGCAGUAAGUUAAUACCUUGCUGUUUUGACGUUACCAACAGAAUAAGCACCGGCUAACUUCGUG
rnacentral:rRNA from 1 species